CGGUUUGCCUAUCUGGUGGCAUUUUCCCACAUUUCAAUUCAGACAUGAUUUGCCUCUAACAAUCAAAAAUGUUUAGAAUCUUGUUCUUUUUAUCUCACACAUUUACCUUGUAAACAGGCUGAAAUUCUUCAGUAACUGCAAAAAUUGUCUGAAUAUUAUUUUCACUCAGUUUCUGGACAAGGUGAGCAAUAGAAGGAUAAUCAUAAUAAUGGCUCAUUGUGUACAUAUUAUUUUCCAGGUGACAUUGUCCAUCAUUUGGUAAAACAAUGCCACCAAGUUUCCCAUCUCCAGCAAAGUGAAACCCGGCAUCUGUGGAAAACACCAGCAGCCGUGUAACAUUCCUCCAGCCAAUCAGUGAUCCACAAACUGCAACUUGCAUGAUGGCAUCGAAACCACCUUCUGGAGAAUCCAAAUUUCCAGAUAUGCGCUGUUUUCCAACAAGUUCAUUAAAUACUUCUCCUUUAUUAGUAAGACUGAGCACAUUUUUGUAGCUAAAUGGGCUGGUGCAGUUCUGUUCACUUGUGCAAGGGUUCCUGAGCUUAGCUGGUGUUGUGCUAAUGUAAGGCAUCACAGUCUUUUCCACAAAUGAGCCAAAUCCAAUUCUGAAGUCCGAAGUAAUCCUCCUCAUUUCAUUCAUCAGAUCUGUUCCAAGACUUUUUACAUUCUCCAAAUCGUCUUUCAUUGAGUAAGACAGGUCCAUAAGGUAGUAGAGGUCAAUGGGAUAGUCUUCAGCUCUCUUGAAUUUUAAUGUAAAUGUCUGUGGCUCCCCUGAUCUUAAUCGCAAAACCAACUGCUGUGGUUGGAUCUGAGUAAUAUCCUCUGGCUUGAGCUUCUCUGCUGUUCCUUUGCUACGGUUGGUUACAUUUUUAUUUUUCUUUAUAUCUUUGGAGCCUCUGGGAUUUUCUAUGUCAUCUGGAGGGCAACCCUUCUUUUUUAAGGCUUCUAAAUCAUCACAUCGUGCAGAAGUAGGCAUUCCUUCCUGUAAAAAUGUUGAAUUUGUGCACCACCCACAAUUUGGCCCUGCUUGUAUACAUUCUCCACAUGAUUUGGCAUUUGCUUUUAAACAUCUAUUUUCAUCUGUCAGAAAGAAGAAAGAACAGAACAUUUUAUGUGAAGUGUCAGAGAGAAAAUAAUGAAAAAUCAGAAUCACAAUGACAAUGCAAUACAUAUGUUAAAUAUUAAUACUAUGAC
rnacentral:lncRNA from 1 species